GGCACUAUAGCCAAGUGGUUACGGCGACAGAUUCGAAUUGCUCGACUAUCUGUUCCUCUUUGAGGGCGCAGGUUCGAAUCCUGCUGGUGUCG
rfam:Coniophora puteana RWD-64-598 SS2 unplaced genomic scaffold CONPTscaffold_2, whole genome shotgun sequence.